UUGAGACCUGCUACCUAAGACUUCCCCAAAAUCCAUGAAGGUGAUCACUCAGAGCACAUGUUUUUUAAAAAGGCAUAUUCUCAGGCUUCUCCCAGAUCUUCUGAAUCAAAAUUUCAAGGGGUCCUGGCAACCUCUAUAUUUAGCGAGCAAUAAGAGCAAUGUGGACACGUUAUGCCAGUGAAAAGUUUGUCGAUUAGCUCCUUUUCUACUGGAUAAUCAUAUCCAGCAAUGCUUCUGGACAGCACAGGCAAAUCAGCUCAAGGAGGGGAAGCACCCUCCUCAGACGCCCACAGGUCAGCCAAGUGAAUAGCUGAGUCAUGAGAUGCUUCCACACUCAGUCAUUCAACCUCUCUGUGGAUUCCCAAGUUUUCUGGAAGUUCUCGCUGAUCUCGGGGAUUCUCAAUGGGUUUGGAGAAGCCAAGCCCCCAGUCAAGGUGACCUCCAGCCAUGGAAGGAUCCCCCUGAACAUAUCUAAAGAGAACUCUCCUUUCUG
rnacentral:lncRNA from 1 species